rnacentral:rRNA from 1 species
GAUGAACGCUGGCGGCGUGCCUAAUACAUGCAAGUCGAGCGAACGGACGAGAAGCUUGCUUCUCUGAUGUUAGCGGCGGACGGGUGAGUAACACGUGGAUAACCUACCUAUAAGACUGGGAUAACUUCGGGAAACCGGAGCUAAUACCGGAUAAUAUUUUGAACCGCAUGGUUCAAAAGUGAAAGACGGUCUUGCUGUCACUUAUAGAUGGAUCCGCGCUGCAUUAGCUAGUUGGUAAGGUAACGGCUUACCAAGGCAACGAUGCAUAGCCGACCUGAGAGGGAAAGCGGCCACACUGAAGCGGAGACCCGGUCCAGACUCCUACGGGAGGCAGCAGUAGGGAAUCUGCGGCAAGGGGCGAAAGUCUGAAGGAGCAACGCAGCGUGAGAGAUGAAGGUCUUCGGAUCGUAAAACUCUGUUAUUAGGGAAGAACAUAUGUGUAAGUAACUGUGCACAUCUUGACGGUACCUAAUCAGAAAGCCACGGCUAACUACG